AUUGAACGCUGGCGGCAUGCUUUACACAUGCAAGUCGAACGGUAACAGGCCGCAAGGUGCUGACGAGUGGCGAACGGGUGAGUAAUGCAUCGGAACGUGCCCAGUCGUGGGGGAUAACGCAGCGAAAGCUGCGCUAAUACCGCAUACGAUCUCUGGAUGAAAGCGGGGGACCGAAAGGCCUCGCGCGAUUGGAGCGGCCGAUGUCAGAUUAGGUAGUUGGUGGGGUAAAGGCCCACCAAGCCAACGAUCUGUAGCUGGUCUGAGAGGACGACCAGCCACACUGGGACUGAGACACGGCCCAGACUCCUACGGGAGGCAGCAGUGGGGAAUUUUGGACAAUGGGCGCAAGCCUGAUCCAGCAAUGCCGCGUGCAGGAAGAAGGCCUUCGGGUUGUAAACUGCUUUUGUACGGAACGAAACGGUCCGGGUUAAUACCCUGGGCUAAUGACGGUACCGUAAGAAUAAGCACCGGCUAACUACGUGCCAGCAGCCGCCGUAA
rnacentral:rRNA from 1 species